UGGACUUAAUGAAUAUAAAUUUAUAAGUGAUGCGAGAGUAGGUAGGCGUGUUUCUUUCGGCUCGUUUUGUGGAAGCGCACGCCUUUUCCGCUCUACAAGUUUUGAACAAUGGUUAAGAGAUUUCGGUUGGCCAU
ensembl:ncRNA F25H10.7 ncRNA